ACGAGAAACAUCCGUUUUUCCCAUCCACAUUCUUGCGUAAGCAGAUGUUAACGUUUAAAACAUUUAAAACAAACCUAAAAAAGUAAGGAUCUGAUUAAGGGAAAAUACUUUAAUAACAAAAUUCCACAUGGUGGUUAUCACACAUUGCCACAAGGAAAAUAACAUGGGUCCCGGAGAAUAAGUUUUUUGAUGGUAGUUUAAAAGACGCUCCCACAAGACUGCAUUCAUCCAAAGGAAGUAGAGAAUGUCAUCGUAUCAGAAGACAAAGCAAGAAAAUGAAAGGAUAGAGGAGCGUACAAGAAAACGAGAGGAAUUUUUGAAAGACAAAGCUCAGCGAGAGGAGGCUCUGAAAAAAAUAUAAGGAGAAGAAAAUAGCAACCUAUCAGUUGUUGAAGAGAGAAAAAAAAAUCAAGAAAGGUCAGCCCAACCUUAAUCUGCAUAUGGAGCUAUUGCUGCAAAAGAUUCAAGCUCAGCGCAAAUAAUUCAGUGUCAUCCCACACAAUAAACUGUGCAGUUUGGGUGAGUGUUUUCUGACCUCUAGGAUGUGAAAAACUUUGCAUACCUUUGUUUUUCCCAAGUAAUAUUUCUUGUAAAUAAAUAUUAAAUGAUCCUCCAAUUAAGUUAAUUCAAGCUGACAGUACAGAACUAAUGCUAUGGCUAUACGCUUAUGGAACAACAUGAAGCUUUGUACUAUCUAUUAAGUGGUAAAUCUAUUUUUAUCAUUGUAUUUAGGUCGAUAAUGCCAUCAGGCAUUGUGCCUAAAAGUGCUUCCUUAAACAUUUAUAGCAUAAUUUUCUUCUUUUCUUUUACAGUUUUUUUAAAAAUUAUUUUUCUGACAAGACAAAUGAAUGAUAUCUUUUGUUUAUUAGGUGAAAAGCAUUGAUGUCAAAAUAGAAAUAAGAGGCCAAAUACUAAAAUACAAACAUUAAACUUUGUUGAUAAUGAAUUCUGCAAAGCAUGUAACCUUUCAUACAAAAAUAUUUAAAAUAGCACAAAAACAUAAGGCAUUGAUGCAUUAGUAGCAAUAUAAGAAACUCCCAGUAGCUCCAGUUACUGUAAUACUAUUUUGAUGAACAGAGGCAGAUGCUGUGGUCACUCAUAUGGCCCCUCCCUCCUUCCCCACAUUAUCAUAGUCUGUUUUUAAAAACAAGCAAAUUCACAUGUUCAUUUUUAUAAAUGCAUCACAAAUUUACAUUUAAUAGGGCUUAAAUGAAUAAAAGUAGAUUAUGGCUAAAGGUGAAGACAACCUACCUAACAGGUUUCUUUUAUUUCCAUUGCUGUUCUUCACAUCAUCAUACUCCUCCUGAUCUAACUCUGGUAUAUAUGUGAAAUAAAACCUCACAUUGUAAUGUGUAA